GAUGAAGAACGCAGCGAAAUGCGAUACUUGGUGUGAAUUGCAGAAUCCCGUGAACCAUCGAGUCUUUGAACGCAAGUUGCGCCCGAAGCCAUCAGGUUGAGGGCACGUCUGCCUGGGCGUCACAUAUCGUUGCCCAAUGCCUAUUGCAGUGCAAUAGGAAUUUCUAGGGCGAAUGAUGGCUUCCCGUGAGCGUUGUUGCCUCGCGGUUGGUUGAAAAUCGAGUCCUUGGUAGGGUGUGCCAUGGUAGAUGGUGGUCGAGUUAGAACGAUACCGAUCAUGUACAUGCUCCCCAAAAUAUGGCCUCUAUGACCCACACGCGUCUUUUGACGCUCAUGACGAGACCUCAGGUCAGGCGGGGCUACCCGCUGAAUUUAAGCAUAUCAAUAAGCGGAGGA
rnacentral:misc_RNA from 1 species